rnacentral:rRNA from 1 species
AUUGAACGCUGGCGGCAUGCCUUACACAUGCAAGUCGAACGGCAGCACGGGAGCAAUCCUGGUGGCGAGUGGCGAACGGGUGAGUAAAGUAUCGGAACGUGCCCAGUCGUGGGGGAUAACGUAGCGAAAGUUACGCUAAUACCGCAUAUGAUCUAUGGAUGAAAGCGGGGGAUCGCAAGACCUUGCGCGAUUGGAGCGGCCGAUAUCAGAUUAGGUAGUUGGUGGGGUAAAGGCUCACCAAGCCGACGAUCUGUAGCUGGUCUGAGAGGACGACCAGCCACACUGGGACUGAGACACGGCCCAGACUCCUACGGGAGGCAGCAGUGGGGAAUUUUGGACAAUGGGCGAAAGCCUGAUCCAGCCAUGCCGCGUGCAGGAUGAAGGCCUUCGGGUUGUAAACUGCUUUUGUACGGAACGAAAAGGUUUGGGCUAAUAAGCUGAGCUCAUGACGGUACCGUAAGAAUAAGCACCGGCUAACUACGUGCCAGCAGCCGCUGUAA